rnacentral:lncRNA from 1 species
GAAGACUUCUGAGAAACUAUAAAGAUUUUAAGAGAAAAAUGUGCUCUUUGUCUUUGCUAUGUAACUCCGUUUUGAACACAGGACUGCUGCCUCCCUUCCUUCCAGGAACCGGCAGCCUAUGUACUGAUCUGAUGCAGAGCUAAUCUUUUCUGAGACAUCCUCUCCUCCAGGGUCGAGCCUCCCAUAAUUUUGCUUCCCUGGGACAUAGUCUUCGCUGUGUCAACCGAAAGUCUGAAAAUGGCCCAUCAAAUUUUCCUGUGGGAGGUCUGCCCUACGCUGCAUACACUGAGGUCGAGCACAGCCACCUGCAUCCCACACAACAGCUUUAAAGGAGAAAACCCCGUGGAGAAAGAACUGAAACUGAGAGGAGUUCCAAACUAA